rnacentral:lncRNA from 1 species
UCCUAGUUUGGUUGACUAGGAUGGCACAUGUUGAAAUCGCAUGUUGGAAAUGCGGUUUAUAUUUGAAAUCGCAUGUCCAACAUGCAAUUUCAUGCUGACGUGGCCAUCCAUGUCAGCUAAGAGCUGUUUGAAUUUAAAUCGAAAUCACAUGUCUGACAUGCGAUUUCAAACACGAAAUUGUAUGCCCCAUAUGUAAUUUACGUCCUCGAUUCUUCAAACCUUCUCGUGGUCCUCUGUGAUCUGCAUCACCCCACCCGAUAGGCACCUUUCGUGGUCCCCCCU